UGGGGAAUAUUGGACAAUGGGCGAAAGCCUGAUCCAGCCAUGCCGCGUGCGGGAAGAAGGCCUUCGGGUUGUAAACCGCUUUUGUCAGGGAAGAAACGAGUUUCUCUAAUACAGAGACUUAAUGACGGUACCUGAAGAAUAAGCACCGGCUAACUACGUGCCAGCAGCCGCGGUAAUACGUAGGGUGCAAGCGUUAAUCGGAAUUACUGGGCGUAAAGCGUGCGCAGGCGGUUAUGCAAGACAGAUGUGAAAUCCCCGGGCUUAACCUGGGAACUGCAUUUGUGACUGCAUAGCUAGAGUACGGUAGAGGGGGAUGGAAUUCCGCGUGUAGCAGUGAAAUGCGUAGAUAUGCGGAGGAACACCGAUGGCGAAGGCAAUCCCCUGGACCUGUACUGACGCUCAUGCACGAAAGCGUGGGGAGCAAACA
rnacentral:rRNA from 1 species